GAUGAACGCUGGCGGCGUGCCUAAUACAUGCAAGUCGAGCGAACAGACGAGGAGCUUGCUCCUCUGACGUUAGCGGCGGACGGGUGAGUAACACGUGGAUAACCUACCUAUAAGACUGGGAUAACUUCGGGAAACCGGAGCUAAUCCCGGAUAAUCUAUUGAACCGCAGGGUUCAAUAGUGAAAGACGGUUUUGCUGUAACUUAUAGAUGGAUCCCGGCCGCUUUAGCUAGUUGUUAAGGUAACGGCUUACCAAGGCAACGAUGCGUAGCCGACGGGAGAGGCUGAUCGGCGACAUGAGAGGUUAGACAGGGACAAGAGUCCUACGGGAGGCAGCAGUAUGGAACCUUCCGCAGUGGUCGAAAGCCUUACGGAGCAACGCCGAGUGAGUUAUGAAGGUCUCCGGAUCGUAAAACCCUGCUUUUAGGGAUGAACAAAUUUGUAAGUAACCAUGGACGUCUUGACGGUACUGAAUCAGAAAGCCACGGCUAACUACGUG
rnacentral:rRNA from 1 species